AGUGAACGCUGGCGGUAGGCCUAACACAUGCAAGUCGAACGGCAGCACAGUAAGAGCUUGCUCUUACGGGUGGCGAGUGGCGGACGGGUGAGGAAUACAUCGGAAUCUACUUUUUCGUGGGGGAUAACGUAGGGAAACUUACGCUAAUACCGCAUACGACCUACGGGUGAAAGCAGGGGAUCUUCGGACCUUGCGCGAUUGAAUGAGCCGAUGUCGGAUUAGCUAGUUGGCGGGGUAAAGGCCCACCAAGGCGACGAUCCGUAGCUGGUCUGAGAGGAUGAUCCGCCACACGGGAACGAGGAAACGGGCCAAACUCCCAGGGGAGGCAGCAGGGGGGAAUUUUGGAAAAGGGGGGAAAGCCUAAUCCAGCCAUCCCGGGGGGGUGAAGAAGGCCUUCGGGUUGUAAAGCCCUUUUGUUGGGAAAAAAAAGCAGCAGGUUAAUACCCCGCUGUUCUGGCGGUACCCAAAGAAUAAGCACCGGCAAACUGCGU
rnacentral:rRNA from 1 species